rnacentral:tRNA from 1 species
GCACUCGUGGCGGAACGGCAGACGCGCUAGCUUCAGGAGCUAGUUCCUUAGCGGGAGUGGUGGUUCGAAUCCACUCGGGUGCACCA